CCUACGGGAGGCAGCAGUGGGGAAUAUUGCACAAUGGGGGAAACCCUGAUGCAGCGACGCCGCGUGAGUGAAGAAGUAAUUCGUUAUGUAAAGCUCUAUCAGCAGGGAAGAAAAUGACGGUACCUGAGUAAGAAGCCCCGACUAACUACGUGCCGGCAGCCGCGGUAAUACGUAGGGGGCAAGCGUUAUCCGGAUUUACUGGGUGUAAAGGGAGCGUAGACGGCAGGGCAAGUCUGUAGUGAAAGGCGUGGGCUCAACCCUCGGACUGCUUUGGAAACUGGACGGCUGGAGUGCAGGAGAGGUAAGUGGAAUUCCUAGUGUAGCGGUGAAAUGCGUAGAUAUUAGGAGGAACACCAGUGGCGAAGGCGGCUUACUGGACUGUAACUGACGUUGAGGCUCGAAAGCGUGGGGAGCAAACAGGAUUAGAUACCCGGGUAGUC
rnacentral:rRNA from 1 species